UUGAUCGGUAGCGUGUGUUUUUGCCGAGAACGUGAUCGCGCGGCGCGUCUAGCGUUAUUUUCGAGAAAGAGGUCGAGAGAGACUGCAGAUCACGUUUGACCCUUUAUAAACGCGAAAAUACGAGUUCUCGAGUGUGCGCACGACAAAUAACGUUUCGGCUGCACCAGCUUUUAUGCGCGGAUUGUCCGCGUUUCGAGCGAUACCACAGCUAACUGUUUCAAUGUCCGCCAUAUUUUUCAACCACUUGUAGGCCAAGACGGCGAAAAGGCGUCGCUUCACCGGCUUCCCUGUCAAAAUCAGCCGAUCGGCCAACCACUGCGCACGCGCAGAACUUUGGUUGCAAAUGCGACUGCGCGUCCUCAUCCCCACUCUACUAAUACGUGUACUAUAGGUAUGUAAAUUGCACGUAGCGUUCAUGUGCUCAGCAUAGCGUCCUUGGAACAAGUCUCAUUUCCAAGUGUCGCCUACCCUCUCGCAAUUUCAGAUCUACGUCUGAAGUCGAACUGAGUCCAAUGGCUUUACAAGAAAGAGUAAUGGCUGAAUAAGUCAACAAAAGAGCAGAUGAAACAGCUAAAAAACAUAAGCUUUCGCUAAGGCCAAAAUACCGCUAAGCAAUCAUUGUCCCCUAGAUGAUUUAAUAAACAUAAUUCGACGUCAUAUGGAAUCUUCGCAACUAAGUGAAAGACAGAGAAAGGAUGAGUAUAUGACUGCGAAGCAGUACCAGGAUUUCGUGGUCAAGUCAGCUUCGCUCACAGUAGAAAUUGAAAAGAUAAAGAGCGACGAAACUUUGCCGGAGGAAAUAAAGCGGAAAAAAUGCCUCGCUAAUGAAAACAUUCAGAUUCGUGCAAAACUUCAAGAAAUAAUAGUCGGUGUUCAAUGUUUGAAGCAGGAGAAGAAAAAUUUUAAAAGUAAAAUCAAAAUUCUGAGAGGUGACAUAAUACAAAUUCGAAAGGAGUUCAUCGAUUGUGGGAAAAUUUUUCCGUUCGUAGAAAACUGCAAUAUUUUACCGAGAAAAUUAAAUGAGUGGAGAAACAAAUUUCGUAAGCUUCUCGAUUAAUUUUCAGUUAAUGAAAGUAUACGUCGAUUGUUACAGUAUGAUGCGUGCUAUUUAUGCUGGUAAUAAAUAAAUGCAAUCAUCCCUCACUUUCAUAAUCAUCAAGUUUUACCACGUUAAAAAUGUUAUAUGUGAAAUUUAAAUGUUAUUUGAAUAAAUAUUAACACUGGCACC